rnacentral:rRNA from 1 species
AGUGAACGCUGGCGGUAGGCCUAACACAUGCAAGUCGAACGGCAGCACAGUAAGAGCUUGCUCUUACGGGUGGCGAGUGGCGGACGGGUGAGGAAUACAUCGGAAUCUACUUUUUCGUGGGGGAUAACGUAGGGAAACUUACGCUCAUACCGCAUACGACCUACGGGUGAAAGCAGGGGAUCUUCGGACCUUGCGCGAUUGAAUGAGCCGAUGUCGGAUUAGCUAGUUGGCGGGGUAAAGGCACACCAAGGCGACGAUCCGUAGCUGGUCUGAGGGGAUGAUCAGCCACACUGGAACUGAGACACGGUCCAGACUCCUACGGGAGGCAGCAGUGGGGAAUAGUGGACAAGGGGCGGAAGCCUGAUCCAGCCAUACCGCGUGGGGGAAGAAGGCCUUCGGGUUGUAAAGCCCUUUUGUUGGGAAAGAAAAGCAGCAGGUUCAUACUCCGGUGUUCUGACGGUACCCAAAGAAUAAGCACCGGCUAACUUCGUG